rnacentral:lncRNA from 1 species
ACAGGCGAGGGCGUUCGGCGACGUUACUGGGGCUGCACGGUGCUUGUAGCUGGGCAGUCUUAUCAUCAGAGUGGAGCCUGGUAACCACGACCUCCCCGCCAGGUCCUGUGUGUUGCUAGCUGGAGAAGGGUAGUUGAAAACUCAGACCAAGCACAGUGUUUAUAUCGGUCAAAACUGGAAAACUAUGUCCGGGCGCAGCCGAGGCUGGAGGAUCCCUUCAGGCCAAGAGCAACCUAGCAAUAUGGCGCGACCGGAUCUCUGUAGUCCUACCUCAACCCCCAGCUACUUGAACCCCAAGGUUGAAGGCUCCAGUGAGCUAUGAUCCCACCACAGCAUUGCAGCCUGCCAGACUGAGACAUGAACUUAUGAAUUCAACACAUGAAGACUUACAACUUGAUAAACCAGCUUCAGGAGGCUGGAGUGCAAUGGUGCGAUCUGGGCUCACUGCAACCUCUACCUCCUGGGUUCAAGCGAUUCUCCUGUGUCAGCCUCCUGAAUAGCUGGGAUCACAGGUUCCUGAAAGGGAGAGAGGAAAUCUUCGAUUUUUCAUGGCUGUGAACCACUGCAAGUAUUGAAGAAAUAUUUACUACUUCCAGCCUCAUAAUCCUGCAGUCAUUUGGCACCUCUGAAGCCUUGGGGAGCACUGAAGCCAAGGCUGCACCGUACCAAAAAUUUGAAACAUGUGAAUGAGCUGAAUGUGGAAGGACUACCGGAAAACACUCCUUUCAGAAUCCCCUCAUUGCAUGAAAUCCCAAGGCUCGAAAACAUCUUUCAAGUGAGCAAUUGAAUUAAGUUUGUUAUUAAGAGUAACUCCAGUUAGCCUCCAUUGUCUCCAAGCCGGCUUUUGUCCUCAUCCACAACGCCUCCACACAAGCUCUGAACACCUGUCCAUUGCUAACUUGAGACUGCCAUGCUGUUAGGAAGUUCAAGUUCACCACAUGGAGAUGAAAUAAGAUAUCAUGAUAAACAUCCCCAGCUGAUCCCAGCCUCCAGUGAUCCAUCAACUACAUAUAUGAUCCUAAGUCACAUGUGUGACCCCGAGCAAGAUCAGCAGAACAAUCACUCAGCCAACCCACAGAACCCUGAAAAAAUAUAAAUCAUUAUAGUUUAAACCACAAGUUUUGGGUAGCUUGUUAUGCUGCUAUUGAUAAUUAAAACAAACUGGAAUAUUUUCAUCUA